GUCUUAACGACCUUUUAUGGAGAAGCUUCCUUCAUGAUAGUUGUAGCUCUCUGAGUUAGCUAAAUUCUCCAACUGAUUUCGUGUCAAUCCGAUGUCUGUAGCUCAAGAUAAUUGAAUUUUAGUGAGCAAAGGUCUGGCUGUACAGUGCCAGGGAAAGGACUGGUUGUACAGUGCCAACAGGUCUGCCUGUACAGUGUACAGUCCAAAUUUACCUUUGAUUUUAGAGAAAGAGGAGGGGAAUUCAGUUUUUUAAAGAGUGAUAAGAUUGAGAUAGAAACCCUAUUCUACACACACACAUUCACUUUGAAACAGAAAGAAAGAAAAAGAGAGAAAGACCGUAAGAGAGAAAGAAAGACCGAGAAAGAGAGAAAGAAGGAGAAACGAGAAAGAGAAGAAGAAGAGGCCGAGAGAGAUCAAGGGAGAUCAAGGGCAAGGGACUAUCUUCCUCAUCUUUCAUCUUUCAUCUUUUCUUCUCAAGUUUAAGGCAAAGAUGGUCGUGAAUAUAACGGCGACGACCCAUUCUUAGGAGCUGAUACUCCGUGACGAGCCACUACCGGAUGACGACUACACUUCUGAUGAAGAGGAAGGAGAUAAAGAGGAAGAGGCCAAGGAAUAGGAUUGGGUUGAGAGACAUUCAUUUUUCUCUUUGGGUUGAGAGUACUGAGUUCGGGAAGCAUUGAACAAUUAUUUUGCUUUCAUUUGGAUUAAUUGGUUACUGUGUGACACUCGAGAAAUCGGGGCGUUACACCUAUUCAAGGGAUGAAUGAUCCAUUGCAUGAAAAUCAAGGGAUGAAUGAUCCAGUUGCAGAUCCAGUGUAGGAAAAUCAAGCUAAUGGAAGAGACAGUGCAUGACAAGUAGAGGAGAAGAAUCAGGUUCCAGCUACUAUAGAGAGAGAAGUUGGGAGACAAUAAUUGAAGAGGAGCCUGAAAGUUUCUGUUUGCUUUUUAUUUGCUUCAAAGGGAAUCUUUCCUUUGAAUAUGAUGUAAUAGUUUAUUAGACAUACACAUGGCAACAUGGUGUUUUUAAUGUUGGCUCUUUAAUGUUUGAAUGUGGACAACUAAUGCCAUUUGGCCUCUUUAGGAUUUGUAGUGGAUGGACCACUAUCAUUUUGUAAUACUAUUUAGGCUACUAUUUAAACAUGUGGCACUGCCUUUUCUGACUAAGUUAUGAAGCUGAUGUUAAUGUACCUUCCUCUUCUUUAAUACAGUAUAAAUCAUUAAUACC